CCCCUACGGGAGGCAGCAGUGGGGAAUAUUGCACAAUGGGGGAAACCCUGAUGCAGCGACGCCGCGUGAGUGAGGAAGUAUUUCGGUAUGUAAAGCUCUAUCAGCAGGGAAGAAAAUGACGGUACCUGACUAAGAAGCCCCGGCUAACUACGUGCCAGCAGCCGCGGUAAUACGUAGGGGGCAAGCGUUAUCCGGAUUUACUGGGUGUAAAGGGAGCGUAGACGGCGAGACAAGUCUGGAGUGAAAGGCCGGGGCCCAACCCCGGGA
rnacentral:rRNA from 1 species